UCCUUGGUGGUCCAGUGGUUAAGACACCGUGCUUCCAAUGCAGGGGCGCAGGUUCGAUCCCUGCUUGGGGAA